UACGUAGGUGACAAGCGUUGUCCGGAUUUACUGGGCGUAAAGAGCGCGCAGGCGGUCGUUCAAGUCGAGUGUGAAAGCCCCCGGCUCAACCGGGGAGGGUCACUCGAUACUGAUCGACUCGAAGGCAGGAGAGGGAAGUGGAAUUCCCGGUGUAGUGGUGAAAUGCGUAGAUAUCGGGAGGAACACCAGUGGCGAAGGCGGCUUCCUGGCCUGUUCUUGACGCUGAGGCGCGAAAGCUAGGGGAGCAAACGGG
rnacentral:rRNA from 1 species